rnacentral:rRNA from 1 species
AUUGAACGCUGGCGGCAGGCCUAACACAUGCAAGUCGAACGAGUGGCGGACGGGUGAGUAAUGUCUGGGAAUCUGCCUGGUAGAGGGGGAUAACGUCCGGAAACGGGCGCUAAUACCGCAUACUAUCAGAUGAGCCUAGGUCGGAUUAGCUAGUUGGGUGGGUAAAGGCCUACCAAGGCGACGAUCCCUAGCUGGUCUGAGAGGAUGACCAUCCACACUGAAACUUAGACCCGGUCCAGACUCCUACGGGAGGCAGCCGUGGGGAAUAUUUCACAAUGGGCGCAAGCCUGAUGCAGCCAUGCCGCGUGUAUGAAGAAGGCCUUCGGUUUUUAAAGUACUUUCAUCGGGGAUGCUUUACCCGCAGUAUAAGCACCGGCUAACUCCGUGCCAGCAGCCGCGGUAAUUC